UCUGAAUAUGGGGGGACCAUCCUCCAAGGCUAAAUACUCCUGACUGACCGAUAGUGAACCAGUACCGUGAGGGAAAGGCGAAAAGAACCCCGGCGAGGGGAGUGAAAAAGAACCUGAAACCGUGUACGUACAAGCAGUGGGAGCACAGAGCAAUCUGUGUGACUGCGUACCUUUUGUAUAAUGGGUCAGCGACUUAUAUUCUGUAGCAAGGUUAACCGAAUAGGGGAGCCGAAGGGAAACCGAGUCUUAACUGGGCGUUAAGUUGCAGGGUAUAGACCCGAAACCCGGUGAUCUAGCCAUGG
rnacentral:rRNA from 1 species